UCAUCCUCCACCAGGAGCUCUGCCGCAUUUUCCGUGGCUACACCGUCCGCAAGCAGCGGUCGGCUCCAUCCAAUAUCUUCAGGCCUCCACCUCGUCAAGUAGGUAUUCCCUCGAAUUACAUCUCCUGUACAACUUUUAGCAUUAAAAAGUAGCCUCUUUCAGUUUUCUUCUACUCUCUUCUAUGUUCCUAUUGAACAUGCCUGUCGUUGUUGACUUCUAGUGGAUCCUUUUUUACUGAAAUGUGAUCUAUAUAGUGUAGUUCCGGAUUAUAAAGUUAAAGCUCGUUGCUGUAGUAGUUGAUUGGUACAAUGAGUAAUCAAUUUCCUCUAAUUGAGUUUGUAAUGCACGGCAUGGUGUUGGUAUGUUUGUCCGGCAGAUCAAAAUUGGGAAGUGGCUUGUUAGUCUGGUAAAAGUAAAAUCAAACAUGGAAAAUGUGAUGUAAAAUCUUGUCGUUUUAACACGUAAAUGUCUUCUGAGCAGGGUGCACAUUCUCUUGUGGUGAUCUUCUAUGCUUUGUUGAAAUACCGUAGGAUCUGCAUCAGGUUACUGAAUUACUGACGCAUAAUCUAUUGCUGGUUCUGUGAGCCUUUGACGCAUAAUCUAUAUUAUUGUCUGAAUCUAAAUAAUAUAGUGCACUUCGCAACACUGUCUCACCUUAGGUUCACAUCUAACAUAGGUGGUCAACUGUAUUAGCAUGGUAUUUUACAUCAUUUAUUCUUGGUGGCAAGAAUGUACAAUCUACUAUUAAUACUAAAUCUCUCAUAUUGUCCGUUAUGAGAUUAGAUAGCAUUAUAUGGCUUUUGUACAGUUGCCUUUCAUAGUUUGAUGCAGUCUCACGAGUUAAAAAGCAAUACUUAGGAUGUGAUUGAAGAUGCAACUGUGAAAGAUUACGAACAAUUGGCCUUCAUUAACAGGUAACAAUGUAAAAGUAGAUAUUUGCAAUUUGAAGAUAAAAAAAGCUGGUCGAAUAGUUUUUUUUUACUUUUGUAGUGUUAGACACAAGCAGCAUAUGUCAAAAUGUGUUACACCGAAGGUUUGCAUGAUGAUUGGCACUUGCAGUCAAUAUUACUGACUUAAGCUUGGUAAGAAUGUUGCCUGCAUUGCUGCCCUUGUACUAUACUUCUAACAUGAUGCCUCUCAAUGGCACUAAUAAAUUAUGCACUUUCACUGUGAGCAUAAGUGGCCUCCAAAUCUGGCAUAAAUUUUAUGGUUGUUUGCAUGAUCAUAAGAACAUGGCUCAAGCUGUAUGUAUGCAAUUUUCUUCUACUUUUUGGUAUGCUCAUAUUGGAUCUCACAUAGUUUAGUUCUUUAUUUGAUAAUGGAAGUGAAAUGCAUGAACUUGGCAUAUGUUUCUAUGCACACAUUCCUUUCAUUAGCCUUGUUGAUUAGCAUAUGAUUUUAACAUUGUUUUGUCAAAGACUUUAUGUAGAAAAUGUAGCCUUCGAAGCAUGAGCAUCCCAAGGCAGGAUGCAGAAAAUGUAGAACCAGAUGAAGGAAAAUUACAAGGCCCUACAGAGAUUGAUGAUUCAUUACCAAAAAUCCUCCUGAAUCUACUAGUCAAAUUAAAAUGAUUUGUAAGCUCAAACAUUUUUUCUACCAUGUUUAGUUGCAGCUGAACUGAGCCUCAACUGUAGAAAGCACACAUUGAAAAGUUAGAUAGGGCUGAUCGGCUUUACUAAGUGACCAGUUCACUAACCAGGUAUAUUCAAACAAAGGAUUAGAAGAAGUGUGGUGUACUGUUUCGUACAAGUAGGGUAUUUGCUCGCCAUUGAUUUUUUUAGCACAUGAUAUCGUCAUGAACUAGCAGCAGCAGCAGUAGCAAGUAACUCUAGUGCAACAAAAUGUGAUAAUUAUGGAAAUCUGCAGUAUGUAGUAAGAUGAGGGUGUCUAUUUGUCAUAGUAAUAAUCUUAGUGACGAGCAAUUGCACUAUAUAAAUCCUAGAGCUGGUAAAGAGAAGAGUUCAUAAUCAUGUCUAUGGUACAACCAGGAACAAUAUAGGAUCAAUAUGUACAUAAUAAGGGUGAUUAGUUAGUGCAUUUACUAUGCAUCAUAUCAGACCUCCUGUAUUUUAUCUUCCCUGAUUAUAGCUUAUCUCGUGUCUACAUUUGCACCUAUUCUUAGUCAAUCGCAGAAUGCUCAUGCUGAAACUAGCAAUGCAACCAAGCAAAGUAGCCUUCAACAAAGUGUGCAGCUUCACGAAGUCACUAAGUAGGUUUGUGAUAAUGACCGUUUCAUUUCUUUUAAUAAUAAGGCAAAACUGAAGUCUUGUUGUAUUUGAUGAAAUGAGAAACAAAAGUAAACUUCUGGCAAAAGGAGCUUUAGUGAGUAAGAUUAAACAUAUGUGGUCUGAGGAAACAUGCUUGGAGAGCAAUAUAUUUGUAGUUUCUAUUCGCCGUGUUUCAAAUGUUGGAGAUGAGAGACUGGUGUGACCAUAUGAAAAAUUCAAAACAGUAAGUGAUGUUAUUGGUUAUGUUAUUGCUUGGCCUCGAUCACAUUUAAGUCCACUUGCAUAAAAGCAAUCGAGUAUUCUCCAAUGUCCAUACUUACGAUUUAUUAUUGAUGAAGAAUCUUUGUGGUUUAGGUAAAAAAACAAUCUAAGCCAGCCCCUCCGAACACAGACACAAAACAUUGCUAGUCCAACACAACCAUGAAAUAUUGGUACUGUACAUCUCUUACAAUGUCAUGAUAGUCUAAAAGGUUAUGUUCAUCUAAACUUUUCUUUGUUAUCUACCUUUUUCAGGUUAGAGGAUUCAGAAAAGGAGUGCAUUGCACGAGCCAGGAGCAACUACAGAUGAAUAAUCUUCAAAUGAACAAAUAUUAUAGAUGAUGUAUAGAUUUUAGCUUCAAAGGAGUACUUAGUUCUACUUUGUAGGGUUUUCGUAAUUAUUUGUAUCUUCCGUAUGAAUAUCUCAUUUGUGAGCUCCACACUUUCAGUAGAGGUAUUUGUUCCUAUUAAUUUAUCCACUUUAUGUUAAUUGUGUGAGAAUGCAAUU
rnacentral:lncRNA from 1 species